rnacentral:rRNA from 1 species
GAUGAACGCUGGCGGCGUGCCUAAUACAUGCAAGUCGAGCGAACGGACGAGAAGCUUGCUUUUCUGAUGUUAGCGGCGGACGGGUGAGUAACACGUGGAUAACCUACCUAUAAGACUGGGAUAACUUCGGGAAACCGGAGCUAAUACCGGAUAAUAUUUUGAACCGCAUGGUUCAAAAGUGAAAGACGGUCUUGCUGUCACUUAUAGAUGGAUCCGCGCUGCAUUAGCUAGUUGGUAAGGUAACGGCUUACCAAGGCAACGAUGCAUAGCCGACCUGAGAGGGGGAUCGGCCACACUGGAACUGAGACACGAUCCAGACUCCUACGGGAGGCAGCAGUAGGGAAUCUUCCGCAAUGGGCGAAAGCCUGACGGAGCAACGCCGCGUGAGUGAUGAAGGUCUUCGGAUCGUAAAACUCUGUUAUUAGGGAAGAACAUAUGUGUAAGUAACUGUGCACAUCUUGACGGUACCUAAUCAGAAAGCCACGGCUAACUACGUG